UAUAUUUUAGUAUAUGAUGUAUAGAAGUUUUUGAUACUUCCGGAGGUAGUUUAAAUCUACCAAAUAUAA
rnacentral:tRNA from 1 species